UUAGUUCGCCCUGAUCUCUUUACUUACAAGUCUGGUGUUGUGAGAGUUGAAACUCAGGGAAUCUGUGUAGGACACACAUUGAUGGAUCAAGGAAUCAAGAAAUGGAAUUCAAGCAAUCCAUGGACAGGUUAUUCCCCAAUUUCUGUAGCAUGGACUGUCAAAGUGGAUGAAGUCACCAAUUACGUUAAGGAUCUAUUGAGGAAACCGUGAGUGUUGAAUAAUGUUGUAUUCACAAGCAAAGCUGUCUUUGUUUGCUGAUCCUUUUUCUUUUCCUUCUUG
rnacentral:misc_RNA from 1 species